CUGAGGGUCUCUAAAAUUGGAAUCAACAAGGGCAUUACAUGGGAAUAAUGCCUCGUUUCCAGGCUGCACCUUCAGCUCCCGUGGCAUAGACAGGAUCACGGUUCUGUCUGGAGGAGAAGCAAGGUCACAAACUGUAGAGCCCCUUAUCAUCGAAGGUGACAUUAGAGAUCUCAAGAGCCCCACUGGUGAGCAGGUUCACUCUUGGAUCAGCGAGAAGCAAAGAGCCCCCUCUUUCCCUGGAAAAAAACACACAAAGAAAGACAUUCAAGAUGUCUUUUGGAUUACAGCUUCGCUUAAAGAGUACAAUCACAGCAGCCUGUGAAACCAAAUGGCUUUUAAUUUGAUAAUAAAUGAAAAGUUCCAUCUUCAAACCACAUUUGGAUGAUUAGCACUGCAGAAAGUGACCUGCCUUACCACAUGACUUUAGGUUUUGGAGAACCAAAGGUCUUGCACUCCAGUAAAGCCUUCUGCCCUUC